UACGUAGGGUGCAAGCGUUGUCCGGAAUUAUUGGGCGUAAAGAACUCGUAGGCGGUCUGUCGCGUCGGCUGUGAAAUCCCGAGGCUCAACCUCGGGUCUGCAGUCGAUACGGGCAAACUGGAGUGUUGCAGGGGAGACUGGAAUUCCUGGUGUAGCGGUGAAAUGCGCAGAUAUCAGGAGGAACACCGGUGGCGAAGGCGGGUCUCUGGGCAACAACUGACGCUGAGGAGCGAAAGCGUGGGGAGCGAACAGG
rnacentral:rRNA from 1 species